UCUUUUUGUUUUUUUCUUUUUUUUUUUCUUUCAAUUUCUGGCUUGGUCAGUGGAUAGACAGAUGACAGUAGUGAGUGUUUGGUGCAUGGCGAGGACCAAGGUGACAUUGGCUUUAGGUUUGCUGACCCUUGACCCAUGUGGACUGUCUGAAAAGACAUAGUCAAAGGGUAGUGAGCUAUUUAGAGCUGGCUCAGUGGAGCCCUGGCUGAGGGAGAACAGGAGCUGGUACUUGUGGGGAGAGGCCCACUCAGCAUGGCACCAAGGGGAAGGUGGUCAGAUGAGACAAAGGCAAAGAAGAAAAGACUCUCAGUCCUAGAGGGAACUAGAAGCAUUGUCAUGAAGCCAGAGACAGUUGUGUGGUAACGGGCUGGGCACGCCACAUGCUGCAGAGGGGUUCUGCCAUGAAGAACUGAAAAUCAGGUCUAAUUGGAGAGACUGAUCAUUCCCUAAACCCAUUGCCCUGAAGAAAAUGAAGCACGGAAGCUCAGAUCAAACACUGGCUCCUUCACCAUCUCCUGGAAGAAAGAAACGAGGGCUUUAAUCAAUGGGCCACAGGUCAAAAUGAUCAAAACUCAAACCAAGAAAAUAGCCGAUGCUGGAGAACCUAUGGGGGCAGGGGUGGGUAUUGUACACUGCUGGUGGGAAUGUAAAAUCAGUCCAGCCACUGUGAGAUAUACUACAGUGGCUCCUGAAGACACUAGAAAGAGCAUGAACAUAUGAUCCCAGUGGGGUACCACUCUUGGGCAUAGCCUACAAAGCAGACAGAGUGCAGUAGAGAUGCCCACACACAUGUUUAUUGUGGCAUUGGUCACUAUAGCCAAGUCACGGAAGCAGCUUAGGAGUCCAUCAAUAGAUGAAUAAACAAAGAGAAUGCAUCACACACACACACACACACACACACACACACACACACACACACACACAUGCACAGCACAUGCACAUACACAUACAUGCACACAUAUGCACACACACAUACACAUGCACAAAUGCACACGUGCACACAUGUACACACUGCACACAAGCUGAAUGGACAAAGAUAGAUAACACACUUGCAUGUGCACACACAUGCACAAUACAUGCACAUGUGCGCACAUGUGCACAUACACGUAGGCACAUACAUGCACACACCACACACACAGAGGCACACACACAUGUGUGCACACACAACAGAGUACUAGUCAGUCAUGAAGAAGAAUGAAAUCAUGUCAUUUGCAGGAGCUGAUGGAGCUGGAGGACAUUCUAUUCAGUAAAGUGAGCAUUUCCUCAUGUGAGAUUAAUGAUGAUGACAAUAAUAGAUGACCUGAAGACAAAAGAGAUAGCACUAGGGGAAGAUGGGGUCGGGGGCUGAGGGAAAGGGGAAGCUUGGGUAGUUAGGGCUGUACCAUCACAGCAUGAUAGAUUGCAUGUAUUUAGAUGUCGCCAUGAAGCUCGUUGAUAUGUGUAAUUGAUAUAUACUAAUCACUAUAAAAAUGCUACUGUAAAUGUUCUUUUUAAAAACAGCACUGGAGGACUUUCGAAACACAAUGUUUGGAGACCAGCGGGGCAAAUUCUCUGUUUAUCAUUUCUUCCUGGGAUUUCCCGAAGCACCUCUCCCUGAGAUAGAAAUCUGAGCCUUGUCACUAGAAGCGAGGAGACAGAUCCUGUCAGCCUGCACCUGGAGAGCCCUGGAGGUGGCAGGGUGCUGGUGGGAAGGCAGUGGAGGGAGUGGCCCCCCACUAUGUCUGCUACCCCUCAGCUCCUGCGGGCAGACACCUGGAGACACCUCCUAGCAGGCCCAGGGCUGUCCCGGGACAGCUCCACCCCUCGUCUGACACAGAGCUGUAUGGCUGCAUCCAUCUAUCCUUGUGCCAUGCAUCCCACCUUCUGAAGACACAGAUGUUCACACACAUGUGCACCCUGGGCUGCUGCACCUGGGGUGACUGGUGGGGCAGGAGAAAGUCUCCUGGUUUGGACUAAUUUAUGCUCGCUAGCCAAGGGAUGCUGUGCCAUCAGCUUCUGUUGGCAUCUUUGCUUCCUUUUUGAUCCAAUGUCGACUCAUUUGCUUCCUGCAUCCGAAAACACAGUGAUAUCAGUUACAGAGUCCUGGGGACCACGCAUGGCCUUCUACACACAGAUGCUCAUCCAGCUCUUGCCGUGACACUCCCUGCAGGCUCUGUUCUUAUUCCCAUCUCACACUGAGGGGAGCCGCAGUGUCUAGAGACAGUCUUAACCAGCCGGCUUCUUCAGUCACAUAUCUGCCAAUGCCCAGCUUCACAGUGACUAGUUUUCCAUUAGCUGUGUGGAAGGAAAGAACAUUGCUGGGCCUUCAAGCCCUCACUUCUUGGCCUCUCUCUCUCAGGCCUGGUGACUGGUAAGGGGGCUGUUGAGCCACUGUGCUGUGUGUACCCAUGUCUAGGACAAAGGCGGGGGUUCUAGGGUACCACAUGGCUUUAUUUCUGAGCACUUCCAACUCCAUCUUCCUCUCACAUCUCAUGCCUCUCCCAUCUGAAUAUCCAGGGAAUGAUCAUGCCAUCGGAGGCUCACUGUGGAUUGCGGAAGUGCAAGGAAAAGUUAAAUGGGGCAGCUAUCCACACGAUAGCUAUCCUGACAAAGGGCCACCUAUGUGCUGGCUUCGUGGUUGGCUCUUUGGGGGUGAGGGUAUUGAGUCCCUGAACUUGAGGAGAUGGCAGAUAUUGACCUGUUUUGCCUUGACACUAGCCAGGAACUGUGGUCUAACCAAGAAAGCAAGAAGAAAUCAAUAUUGGCACCCUGAGGGAGAUCUCAUAUGCAUCAAGUCUUUAAGGACUGGACCAGGCGAAGGCAUUCUAGGACUGGGGAGAGAAUAACACUUGAAAGUACUUUGAUGCCUUCCAGACAGCCCUCUCUGACAGGCCCCUUCCAUGCCCACUCUGGACCUCUGCCAACUCUGGCAGGUAGAACUACCUUUUGCUGUCAAGGACUGGCUAGCUACCAAGGACCCUCCACAAUCACCUUAAACCUCACUUUCACUGCCCCAGGCUGGUUCUGGGCCUCUGCUUGCUGUUCCCAGGGCCUCCUUUUCCCAGUGUGACUUGCCAGCCUCUCUGGCUAUGGCUUAGUGAACUGUUUGCUGGCCCCAGAGGCCAGACUACCUGUAAGUCCUGCUUACCAUCACACCCCGUGCAUACAACAGGUGCUCCAUAGAAGCCCAUGAAAUGAACAACUAAGCAUUUGAUAAAUAGUAGCUUGUCUUGUCACUGCAUUGUACACCCUGGCUGACACCUUCUCCUCUGCCAUUGCAUCUUGCCCUGGUUGUCUGUCUGGGUUCUAACCCUAGCCCAACAAUAAAGACUGGUACCCGGAGGGGCCCCGGGGACACUGGUAAUGUCACCAGCAAGGCUGUGAAAGCCACAGUGGACCUGAUCCAGAGUGCUUGUCCCUACUAAUUAUUACGGACAAGCCUCCUUAUUGAACCCCGUCCUCCUAUUGACAUUCGGAUGCAUGAGCCGAGGCUGUUGUUUUAAAUGUGCUCAUUAGCCACACAAAUCAGUCCUGUUGACAGAGCGCCUUUGAAUUAAGCAUCCCGCCGUAGUCAUUGGACAAGAAGCAAUUUAUAAUGCCAUUAGCAACGCUUUCGAAGGUUACAGGCAUCAAAAAUUGUUCAGCCGUAAUUAUUCUUAAUGGAUACAAGGAAUAAACCGACGUAGGACAGCUUUUUCAUUAGCCUUCAAUCAAGGCUGAUGGCUUUGAGAAGUGUACAGUAAGUGCGUUUUGGGGAGAAAUAAUGACGUUCCAGCACCUUUCUCGGGAAAAUGCUCUUGGUACACAGCUUAACUUUUAAUGGCCUUAAUUUGACAUAAUUAAAAAAAAUUUGAAUUUG